GUUCACAAUCUUGGGCGCAUCGAGAUUUAUCGAAAGCAUCGAUCGUGAUAUUGAUUUCUCGGUGGAGUUCUACCGAACUCAUUUAGCUCACUUGGGAUCAAAAUGAUCUUAGCAGAUACGAAGAUGUAAUUUUAACGGUAACUAAUAUAUAUAUAAAUCUAACAGAGACGGUAUAUGUUCAUAAAUUACACAAAGUGUAUUUAGCAUUUCCUUUUCGAUCAAAGUCUGGAAUAUUCGUCGUGGAAUAUACGAAUGUUCCUCUAUACAUAGAAAUGGGAAUUAAGAGAUAAGGCGGCCAAAUACAUUAUCGGAGGAGGAUGUAUUGCGUUAAUGAAGCGUGGUACGGAACGACGAAAAUUGAACGUGAAGCAAUCUAGGAAUAUCAUAGCGGAAUAGCGAUACGGAAAUAUGCGCUGGGCAAAUCGAAAAAUACACGUGCCGUUUAAUCAAUAGCGAGCCAAUAUAAAAAGUAAUCCAGACGAAGAUUACAUUUUAUCCGGGUUUAUUUUAUUUUUCCCAUCGAGCCGUUUGUUUGUUAUAGGUAUACGUUCCACAGAGACGUUUCACCCGUUUAAUUGAAAAAAGUGCGGAUGGAAUGGUUGUGUCCAUGUUCACACCGUUCUUAACACGUUCGUGUUUAAUUAAACGUUUUAAUUUCUCUAA